rnacentral:rRNA from 2 species
CAAAACGACUCUCGGCAACGGAUAUCUCGGCUCUUGCAUCGAUGAAGAACGUAGCGAAAUGCGAUACGUGGUGUGAAUUGCAGAAUCCCGUGAACCAUCGAGUUUUUGAACGCAAGUUGCGCCCAAAGCCUUUUGGUUGAGGGCACGUCUGCCUGGGUG